AGCGAACGCUGGCGGCAGGCCUAACACAUGCAAGUCGAACGAAUUCUUCGGACUUAGUGGCGGACGGGUGAGUAACACGUGGGGACGUACCUUUUGGUUCGGAACAACUCAGGGAAACUUGAGCUAAUACCGGAUGAGCCCUUAGGGGGAAAGAUUUAUCGCCGAAAGAGCGGCCCGCGUUAGAUUAGCUAGUUGGUGAGGUAAAGGCUCACCAAGGCUACGAUCUAUAGCUGGUCUGAGAGGAUGAUCAGCCACACUGGGACUGAGACACGGCCCAGACUCCUACGGGAGGCAGCAGUGGGGAAUCUUGCGCAAUGGGCGAAAGCCUGACGCAGCCAUGCCGCGUGAAUGAUGAAGGUCUUAGGAUGGUAAAAUUCUUUUACCAGGGACGAUAAUGACGGUACCUGGAGAAAAAGCCCCGGCUAACUUCGUGCCAGCAGCCGCCGUAAAAC
rnacentral:rRNA from 1 species